UACGUAGGUGGCGAGCGUUGUCCGGAUUUACUGGGCGUAAGGGAGCGUAGGCGGACUUUUAAGUGAGAUGUGAAAUACACGGGCUCAACUUGAGUGCUGCAUUUCAAACUGGAAGUCUAGAGUGCAGGAGAGGAGAAUGGAAUUCCUAGUGUAGCGGUGAAAUGCGUAGAGAUUAGGAAGAACACCAGUGGCGAAGGCGAUUCUCUGGACUGUAACUGACGCUGAGGCUCGAAAGCGUGGGGAGCAAACAGG
rnacentral:rRNA from 1 species